GGAGUCACGCCAGAAAUCUUACCCGGAGAGACAGCAGAAUGAAGGUCAAGCUGAAGACCUUACCAGACAAGCUGAGAGGUGGUGCAUGGCCGUCGCCAGCUCGUGCCGUGAGAUGUCCUGUUAAGUCAGGUAACGAGCGAGAUCCCUGCCUCUAGUUGCCACCAUUACUCUCAGGAGUAGUGGGGCGAAUUAGCGGGACCGCCGCAGUUAAUGCGGAGGAAGGAAGGGGCCACGGCAGGUCAGUAUGCCCCGAAACUCUGGGGCCACACGCGGGCUGCAAUGGUAGCGACAAUUGGUUUCGAAUCCGAAAGGAUGAGGUAAUCCACAAACGCUACCACAGUUAUGACUGAGGGCUGCAACUCGCCCUCACGAAUAUGGAAUCCCUAGUAACUGCGUGUCAUUAUCGCGCGGUGAAUACGUCCCUGCUCCUUGCACACACCGCCCGUCGUUUCAUUGAAGUGAGCUUUUAGCGAGGUGACGUCUGAUUGGCGUUAUCGAACUUGAGGUUCGUGACAAGGGAAAAGUCGUAACAAGGUGACCGUAGGGGAACCUGCGGUCGGAUCA
rnacentral:rRNA from 1 species